GCCUGUAAGAGCUGACUAGGUCAUGGGGGAUUCUCCCCUUAUGAGUAGGGAUGAAGGCCCUUACAAAAGAGGCUUUACACAGUGUUCAGCUCUCUUGCCCUUUGGCCUUCUGCCAUGUGAGGGCAAAGGAAGAAGAUCCUCACCAGAUCCCACAGCUCCACUGGCCAGUGCCCUAGUGGGGGCUCUCUGUGGUGGCUCUGAGGCUCUUUGGGGCAUCCUUUGAAAUCCAGGUGGAGGAAACCAUGCCUCCAGAGCCUGUGUACUGUGCUUCCUGGUGGAGAUGGCACCUCACAGAUGCUACCAAGGUUUACCACCUGUGACCUCUGGAGAGACAGCCACUAUGGCAUACAUCACACCUGGGCCCACUGGAGCUUCAUCUUGGACAGCUGAGGAGUGCUAUACCAGCCUCAGGGAGCAGAGGUCUGGGUUGGCACAGGGCAGUGAGGGAUGAGGUCCCUUAGGCACCCAAGGCCCCUCUUCUGACACAGUUCUGCCCUCCAGGCCUUGGCACUCUAGGCCUGUUAUAAGAAGAAAGGCAGCCCUGAUGAUCUCCAAAAUGCCUUCAGGGUCAUUCCUCCAUUGUCCCCUUGACAAAUAGGCUUCCACUAAUCCAUGUUACUCUCCUUAUCAAACUGUUGCUUGGGCACACCCUUGGUGUUCUUUCUCAGACCCACUGUUUCAUUCUUUACAACAUGGCCAGGCUGAUAAUUUUCUAAAUCUAAGUUCUGCUUCACUUUUGAUUAUAAAAUCUAUCUUUAAUUCAUUUCUCUCUUCUUGUAUUUUGCUGUAAGCAGUCAAGAGAAGCCAUGCCACAUGCUCAACACUUUGUUUAGAGAUUUCUUCUGCUAAAUAUCUUAUGUCAUCACUCAUAAGUUCCUCCUUCCACAAAACACUAGGAAACAAACACGAUUCAGCCAAGUUCUUUGCCACUUUAUGACAAGGAUAGCCUUUCCUCCAGUUUCUAAUAACAUGUUCCUCAUUUCCAUCUGAGACCUCAUCAGAAUGGCCUUUACCAUACACAUGUCUGUGAACAUUCUGAUUAUGACUACUUAGGUAAUCUCUGAGAAAACUGAGGCUUUCUUUACAGUUCUCUUCUGAGCCCUCACCAGAAUAGCCUUCAUGGUCCAUUCAUGACAAUAUAGGGUUUUUUCCUAACCUGUUCCUCCAAACUCAACUCUUCCCAGCUCCAAAGCUGCUUUCACAUUUUAAACUAUUCGUUAUAGCAACAUCCCCACUAAGUACCAAUUUCUGUCUUAGUCUGCUCAGGCUGCUAUAACAAAAUACCUUUAACUGGGUAGUUUAUAAACAAUAGAAAUUUAUUGUUCACAGUUCUGAAAGCUGAGAGUCCAAGAUCAAGGCACCAGGAGAUUCAGUAUCUGGUGAGAGUUUUGUCUUCUUCAUAGAUGGCACCUUCUAUUGUCCGCAUAUGGCAGAAGGAGCCAAUUCAGUGUCUUUGCAAGGUGAAAGGACAGGUAGCUCCCUUCAACCUCUUCUAUAAGGGCCAGUAAUCCCACUCAUGAGGCAGAGCUUCCUGACUUAAUCACUCCCCCAAAAACCUCACCUCUUUAUACUGUGGCAUCGUGUUUUAGGUUCCAACAGGUGAAUUUGGGGUUUGGUGGGGGGACACCAGCAUUCAGACAAUAGCACCAUCUUGACCUCAUGACCUGUGGCUAAGUAGGAUGGAACAUCUUCCUGUUUUGUCUUCCUUGAUGUGUAUAUUAAUAAGUCAGGGCUCUGCAGAGAAACAGAAUCAAUAGAAUAAAGAGAUAUAAGAGGGGGUGUAUUAUGGGCAUUGGCUCAUGUGAUUAUGGAGGCCGAAAAGUUCCACAAUCUGUCCUCUGCAGGUUGGAGACCCAGGAAAGCUGGUGAUGUAAUUCAGUUUGAAUCUGAAGGCCUGAGAUCAAGAGGAGGUGAUGAUGUAACUCCCAGUCCAAGGCGAAACGCAGGGGAACCUGGAGUUCUGAUGUCUGAGGGCAGGAGAUGAUGGAUGUCCUGGCUCCAGAAGAGAGAGUGAAUUCACUUUUCUUCUGCCUUUUUGUUCCAUCCAGGCCCUCAAUAGACUGGAUGGUGUCCACUUAUAUUGGAUGAGGGGGGAUCAUCUUUACUCAGUCUACUGAUUCAAAUGGUGAUCUCUUCCCAAAACACCCUCACAGACACACCCAAAAAUCAUGCCCUUACCAGCUAUCUCGGUGUCCCUUCAUUCAGUUAAGAGUACACCUAAAACUAACCAUCACACUGGAAAAGAUGUAUGUAUAUAUAUUAAUUUUUUCCCCUCAUAGUCUCCUUCUGUUUUAUAAAGAGCCUGGUUGCUGAUGGUUCCAUUUAACAAUACAGUCCCCACAUUUCAGAACACCAAAUGGGAUCACAGGAAAGGAGCGGCAAUUACCAGCAGAUCCUGGAUUUGGAGCCAGAUGCAGUCAGUGAUGAGAAAUUACAGUGUCCCCUUUUGGGAAGAGGAUGAAUACGUUUUUAUUUAUUAUGAGGAAGGUUGUUAAUCAAUAGCAUUUUGUUGUUCCUGUUGUAUGGAAGAGGGUGUAUGCUGUUGUUGGGCUGUGAAGGGCUAGAUUGUGGGGCAUGUUUGUUAUACUUUGUGGCCACCCAGCAUGUUUGCAAAGCCUUUUUCUGAUUGGGAAUGAAGUACAUAGGGCAUUCCACCUACCCAACAUAGAAAACACAACUUGCUUCCCCAGCCUCCCUUGCAGCUAGUGAAGUAGGAGGUUGGACUCAACUCUGGAGGCGGGGCUUGGACACCAGACCUAAUGAGGACUAGCUGAAACAGGGAUGGAGUGGAAGCAGCAGCUUUGCAUAAGACAUGCCCACAAGUGUGCCAUGUCAGUUUACCAUUGCCAUGGCAACACCUGAAAGUUACUGCCCCUUUCUAUGGAAGAUACCAACCUUUUCCUAGAAAUUUCUGCAUAAUCCCCCCUUAAUUUGCAUGUAAGUCAAAGUGGGUAUAAGUAUGACUGCAGUCCUGCCUCGGAGCUGCUAUUCUGGGAACACUGCCUAUAGGGUAGCGCUGUUCCACAGUACCAGUACCUCUGCUGCUGCUUCACUAAAAGUCGCUAACACCUCCGGCUCACCCUUGAAUUCUUUCCUAGGUGAAGCCAAGAACUCUCCCAGGCUAAGCCCCAAUUUUGAGACUCGCCUGUCCUGCAUCACUAGGGCAUAAACGUGACAGAUCUGACACUUAGACACACCCACAUAAGACUGAUUCAGGUCCCAAGGCUGUCAUCUGUGGUGGCAGGAGGUUCAUCCCAUCUGCAGCCAGUGGAACCUUAGGAGGCAGUGCUCCUCUAUUUUAUUGCUGACCCUCCAGAGACUUUAGAAAGCAGCUCUACAGGCUGGAUACCUCUCAACCUGACCUCUGGAGACUGCAAGGCCCAAGUGUAGGAAAGGAUAUGGCUACUCACCUAUCUUUUUUUUUUCUUUGAGACAGAAUCUUGCUCUGUCACCUAGGCUGGAGUGCAGUGGCGUGAUCUCGGCUCACUGCAACCUCCGCCUCCCAGGUUCUAAUGAUCGUAAUGAUCCUUUUGCCUCAGCCUCCUGAGUAGCUGGGAUUACAGAUGCAUGCCACCAUGCCUGGCUAAUUUUUUUUUUUCAUUAGAGAUGGGGUUUCACCAUGUUGGCCAGGAAGGUCUUGAACUCCUGACUUUGAGUGAUCUGCUCGCCUCAGCCUCCCAAAGUGCUGGGAUUACAGGCGUGAGCCACCGUGCCUGGCAGCUACUCAACGAUCUUUCCAGCUCUCCUCUCCUUCCGGCCACACAGGAGGGUUGCGUGUCCACACCCCCCUGAAGUAAGGCAUGAUGCCAGAACUUGCUUUGGAUGAUGACACAGAAACAGCAGUGAUACACCACUUCUGGAUGGCAGCACUGAAGAGCCAAGGUGUGAUUCUCCAACCUGUCUUUUCCCUGGCUCUGUUCAGUCUAGAGGCCCAUGUUGAUAUGGAGGUGCCCCAAGGUCAAAGCCUGGAAUUCUGGGCCACCAAAUAGAGAAUGACUGCCCUGGAACAUCCCCUCAGAGCCACAGAUGUUGAGUCACUGAGGUUAGGAGGUGGUUUGUUACUGCAGCAGAACUCAGCCUAACCUGACUUAUUCACCAGUCCUGGUUCUAGAAAGCUACAUAAUCAGGGGGUAGGUAGGCCCAAAAGCACCACUAAGCCAGGGUGCCUCACCUCCCCUCAUUGAUCCUUUAGAAAGAAGGAAAGUCCGGCCUUCCCCAGCAAGGCAGUGCUGCUCUGACCUAUGCAUGCUUCAGGACAUGAGAUGUUAGUGAGCUGCUUGGUCCCAAAGAGCAAGAUCAGGGAAAGUGAGUGCUCCAGAGACACCAAUCGUGGUGCCCACCAUCCCACAGCCACCCAGAGGCCUCUGCCCCAGAGCCUAGGAUGACAGUGUCCAAGACUCUGGAGUGUGAAGGUGGAAAUGCUGUGAGAAUGAGGGAGGUGGGGGGAGGGCUGGAGGAAAAAGAGGUGUCAUGCAACCUGAUAUAGGAGGAGGUCAACAGAGUGGAAACACAGAGAUGAGUGGAAUCUGCACAAGAGUUGGGGGAGCAGCCAGGCCCCCAGGCCUGUCAGCCAGCCUUGUUUCAGGGUCUCUUGAGCAAGCCUGUGUUUCUUCCAUUCAUAGCAGGACUGUGCAGAAAGGCAGUGCCAACAUCCUAGGAACCUGCACCUCCUUUCUGGCCAGUCAACAAAUCCACCCAUGAGACUUCUCUCCCAGUCCCUCCCAGUCCUGUCUGACCCUUUUCUACAUAUACAGAGUUAAGUGCCACAAGGAGGCUCAUUCUGCACGUGUCCCCGGGGCCUAGAAUUCCAUUUGGCAUGGAGUGAGUGCUCUCUGUAUAUACUACUUGUGCCAUGAAACAAUUCUGAGUUCCCCAGGGAGAGCCAUCUGCUCCUCUGGAGGCUACCACCUGUCUUCCAUCUGAGCUUUUGUCUUCCCGGGUGCCUGAGUCAGCAUCUCUGUUAUCUGGCCCCUUCUGACCUCCCCUGCCUGCCGAGGGAGGAAUGAGUCCAUACUGCUCAUCACAGCAUCCCCAGGGCUCAGCACAUAAGUGGGAGCACCGGUCCCUGCUGUCCCAGAGCUACUGUGGCUCCAUGCCUGGUGCUCAUGGGAAACCACACCUGCACAGGCCCUGGCCUCUUGUGGCCAUUGCCUUCAGGACUUCUCCUCUUUCAUGCCCCUCUGCAUCUGACCCAAGACCCACCUAUUUGCCCAUCCCCCAUCCCCCACCGCUGCCCUUGCCUCAUCUCCUGACUCUGGGUGGUCCCCAAAGCCCAGCCCCUUGCUCUGGUCCAAGAGUCAAGGCAGGCCAAGUGCAAAGAAGAGGCUGGGCCAAGGGACACGAGUUGUACUGACUUUAUUCCCCUUCAUCCUCUCACUCGCAUGCCUGCUGUGCC
rnacentral:lncRNA from 1 species